UACAGAGGGUGCGAGCGUUAAUCGGAAUUACUGGGCGUAAAGCGCACGUAGGUGGCGACGCAAGUCGGGUGUGAAAGCCCCGGGCUCAACCUGGGAAUUGCAUUCGAGACUGCAUUGCUGGAGUACGGAAGAGGAAGGCGGAAUUCCCGGUGUAGCGGUGAAAUGCGUAGAUAUCGGGAGGAACAUCAGUGGCGAAGGCGGCUCGCUGGGCCAGUUCUGACACUCAUCCGCGAAGGCGUGGGGAGCAAACAGG
rnacentral:rRNA from 1 species